UUUGUAUGAACUUUUUAAAUGAGUUGAUAUCCAUAUUUAUCAUUUAAAAUAUGAGUGAUUAAACUCAAUAAAUAUGGAUAAAAUGGACUCCUUUUACUAAUAUGGGCUAAAAUUAUCACCUCUGGUUAAUUGUGACCAUUGAAGAUGGCAAGAAGCUUUAAGGCUCUCUCGCCAUGAAUAUCCUCUUUUUCUUUUUAUUAAUCAAAUCUUGAUUUGUGGUUUGAGGGCGAUGUAAUGGGCUUAGUGGCUAUUGGUUUUGUGACAAAGAAACUUACCUGAUUUUGUGUCAAAUGAUUCUACCUGUGUAGGCAUUGAUGCUUGAGCCUUACAAUUGAGGUUUUUUCCAUUUUGGUGGUAGCUUUCUUUUUGGGAAGAUUACCACGUUCCAUGUUUUUCUGGUAGGAUCUCUACUGUAUUAGGGUUUGAAAAAGGGUUUGUUGUUUCUAUUUAUGAUGGGCGUUGGAUAGCUUUGCAUUAUUUAAAGGUAUAGUCAAUCCACUCACAACCUGAACGCAGGAUUCCAUCUCUUUCGCAAACCUCCUUUGGAGUAUGAUUUCUAAUAGUGAUUGAUUUCUUAGCAGAUACUGAUGACCAUUCUCAGGCUCGUGGCUUUAUAGUGCAGAUUCUUGCUCUAGCAAUUAGUGAAUCCUCUUCAUUCAGGGACGUGGUUUAGUUGUUUCUUCUUCUUGUUUUAGACUUGAUUUUUUUAUGUGUAGUUGGUCCCGUCAAACUUGUUUUAUUCGGUAGUAGAGGCUUAACAUACAUUAGUAUUGUAGUUUACGUUAGCCCUUUGGGCUUUCAGUAUUUUGUUUGAUAAGAUUCAUUUCAUAUUUUGGACUUA